rnacentral:misc_RNA from 1 species
GGUUUCAAUUACAUUUGAAUUUUUGUUUAGAUUCAAGUAAAAGCAGAGAUCUAUGGCAAUGUGCCAUAGAAGAAUGCUCUGAUCAAAUUCUGUUUCGACACUCCAGCCAAUCUUGUCAAAACAACCCAUUUCUCUGAGUACCUGAUCACCCCUUUGAGCACAUAAUUGCCUAGAAAUGCUUAUGUCCAGUUCAUUCCUAGACUUCACCAAAAGUUGCUCAAACACCAGCUUUUUUAAAUCGGGGCUGACAGCAUCCAAGACUUUGAAGUGCCGCUUCUCUGGCAUCUCAUAAAUGCAUAAGAACCUGAAGAUUCCACUGAACAUGAUUGGCUUAUCAUCGAGGCAAAUUCUUAUUAGAUUGAAUUUUGCAAUGCAAUUAGACCAUCUCUUGUUCACAGAUGGCGUAAUAUAAAAAGGUUGCAACCAUGACUGGAUAUAGCAGAUGGUCUUGUAGAUGAGAUCCACCAACAUAUUUUUGUGCUUGCUUAGCCAAAGUAAUGUCAAAUCUGAGGAAAGUAGAACAAUCAUCUCAUAUACUUG